UAUUGUUUGGAAAUGGGACAAAGAUUGACUUCAAAGGAGCCGACAAUCAGACGGCCGUAAUAGCUCUGUUUCUGUUAUCAGCUGCUUUGGCUAUAAGCUUGAUUAUUAUAGCUUUCCUGAUUCAUAUCAUCAAGACUAAAUCGUGUGAUUCCAGCAAAGCUGCUGAAGUUCUGCAAACACAUCCUGCAGCAGAUCGACGACGCCAGCAGAGCGCUGAGGACUCGUUGGUUUAUUCUGCACCGACUUUUUCUAAGAUUAGAACGGACAAAAGAGAGAAGAGAAAAGUCAAAGCAGCAACAGAAGAGACGAUCUACACCGGGGU